rnacentral:rRNA from 2 species
GGGUUGUGAGGUUAAGCGACUAAGCGUACACGGUGGAUGCCCUGGCAGUCAGAGGCGAUGAAGGACGUGCUAAUCUGCGAUAAGCGUCGGUAAGGUGAUAUGAACCGUUAUAACCGGCGAUUUCCGAAUGGGGAAACCCAGUGUGUUUCGACACACUAUCAUUAACUGAAUCCAUAGGUUAAUGAGGCGAACCGGGGGAACUGAAACAUCUAAGUACCCCGAGGAAAAGAAAUCAACCGAGAUUCCCCCAGUAGCGGCGAGCGAACGGGGAGCAGCCCAGAGCCUGAAUCAGUGUGUGUGUUAGUGGAAGCGUCUGGAAAGGCGCGCGAUACAGGGUGACAGCCCCGUACACAAAAAUGCACAUGCUGUGAGCUCGAUGAGUAGGGCGGGACACGUGGUAUCCUGUCUGAAUAUGGGGGGACCAUCCUCCAAGGCUAAAUACUCCUGACUGACCGAUAGUGAACCAGUACCGUGAGGGAAAGGCGAAAAGAACCCCGGCGAGGGGAGUGAAAAAGAACCUGAAACCGUGUACGUACAAGCAGUGGGAGCACGCUUAGGCGUGUGACUGCGUACCUUUUGUAUAAUGGGUCAGCGACUUAUAUUCUGUAGCAAGGUUAACCGAAUAGGGGAGCCGAAGGGAAACCGAGUCUUAACUGGGCGUUAAGUUGCAGGGUAUAGACCCGAAACCCGGUGAUCUAGCCAUGGGCAGGUUGAAGGUUGGGUAACACUAACUGGAGGACCGAACCGACUAAUGUUGAAAAAUUAGCGGAUGACUUGUGGCUGGGGGUGAAAGGCCAAUCAAACCGGGAGAUAGCUGGUUCUCCCCGAAAGCUAUUUAGGUAGCGCCUCGUGAACUCAUCUCCGGGGGUAGAGCACUGUUUCGGCAAGGGGGUCAUCCCGACUUACCAACCCGAUGCAAACUGCGAAUACCGGAGAAUGUUAUCACGGGAGACACACGGCGGGUGCUAACGUCCGUCGUGAAGAGGGAAACAACCCAGACCGCCAGCUAAGGUCCCAAAGUCAUGGUUAAGUGGGAAACGAUGUGGGAAGGCCCAGACAGCCAGGAUGUUGGCUUAGAAGCAGCCAUCAUUUAAAGAAAGCGUAAUAGCUCACUGGUCGAGUCGGCCUGCGCGGAAGAUGUAACGGGGCUAAACCAUGCACCGAAGCUGCGGCAGCGACGCUUAUGCGUUGUUGGGUAGGGGAGCGUUCUGUAAGCCUGUGAAGGUGUGCUGUGAGGCAUGCUGGAGGUAUCAGAAGUGCGAAUGCUGACAUAAGUAACGAUAAAGCGGGUGAAAAGCCCGCUCGCCGGAAGACCAAGGGUUCCUGUCCAACGUUAAUCGGGGCAGGGUGAGUCGACCCCUAAGGCGAGGCCGAAAGGCGUAGUCGAUGGGAAACAGGUUAAUAUUCCUGUACUUGGUGUUACUGCGAAGGGGGGACGGAGAAGGCUAUGUUGGCCGGGCGACGGUUGUCCCGGUUUAAGCGUGUAGGCUGGUUUUCCAGGCAAAUCCGGAAAAUCAAGGCUGAGGCGUGAUGACGAGGCACUACGGUGCUGAAGCAACAAAUGCCCUGCUUCCAGGAAAAGCCUCUAAGCAUCAGGUAACAUCAAAUCGUACCCCAAACCGACACAGGUGGUCAGGUAGAGAAUACCAAGGCGCUUGAGAGAACUCGGGUGAAGGAACUAGGCAAAAUGGUGCCGUAACUUCGGGAGAAGGCACGCUGAUAUGUAGGUGAAGCGACUUGCUCGUGGAGCUGAAAUCAGUCGAAGAUACCAGCUGGCUGCAACUGUUUAUUAAAAACACAGCACUGUGCAAACACGAAAGUGGACGUAUACGGUGUGACGCCUGCCCGGUGCCGGAAGGUUAAUUGAUGGGGUUAGCGCAAGCGAAGCUCUUGAUCGAAGCCCCGGUAAACGGCGGCCGUAACUAUAACGGUCCUAAGGUAGCGAAAUUCCUUGUCGGGUAAGUUCCGACCUGCACGAAUGGCGUAAUGAUGGCCAGGCUGUCUCCACCCGAGACUCAGUGAAAUUGAACUCGCUGUGAAGAUGCAGUGUACCCGCGGCAAGACGGAAAGACCCCGUGAACCUUUACUAUAGCUUGACACUGAACAUUGAGCCUUGAUGUGUAGGAUAGGUGGGAGGCUUUGAAGUGUGGACGCCAGUCUGCAUGGAGCCGACCUUGAAAUACCACCCUUUAAUGUUUGAUGUUCUAACGUUGACCCGUAAUCCGGGUUGCGGACAGUGUCUGGUGGGUAGUUUGACUGGGGCGGUCUCCUCCUAAAGAGUAACGGAGGAGCACGAAGGUUGGCUAAUCCUGGUCGGACAUCAGGAGGUUAGUGCAAUGGCAUAAGCCAGCUUGACUGCGAGCGUGACGGCGCGAGCAGGUGCGAAAGCAGGUCAUAGUGAUCCGGUGGUUCUGAAUGGAAGGGCCAUCGCUCAACGGAUAAAAGGUACUCCGGGGAUAACAGGCUGAUACCGCCCAAGAGUUCAUAUCGACGGCGGUGUUUGGCACCUCGAUGUCGGCUCAUCACAUCCUGGGGCUGAAGUAGGUCCCAAGGGUAUGGCUGUUCGCCAUUUAAAGUGGUACGCGAGCUGGGUUUAGAACGUCGUGAGACAGUUCGGUCCCUAUCUGCCGUGGGCGCUGGAGAACUGAGGGGGGCUGCUCCUAGUACGAGAGGACCGGAGUGGACGCAUCACUGGUGUUCGGGUUGUCAUGCCAAUGGCACUGCCCGGUAGCUAAAUGCGGAAGAGAUAAGUGCUGAAAGCAUCUAAGCACGAAACUUGCCCCGAGAUGAGUUCUCCCUGACUCCUUGAGAGUCCUGAAGGAACGUUGAAGACGACGACGUUGAUAGGCCGGGUGUGUAAGCGCAGCGAUGCGUUGAGCUAACCGGUACUAAUGAACCGUGAGGCUUAACCUUACAACGCCGAAG